CUUUUUCUUCUUUUUGUAUAAUGUUUUAAAAAACGUAAUUUUCAUAUUCAUAUAUUUUUCUACCGUACGUGACAAUGGGAAAUAUCAAAAUGGUAGCGAUGAGGAUUGCGUGAGUUUUAUAAUUGUUUUUCUUUUUUUUUUUUUUUUUUUCUUUUUUUUUUUUUAACAAAUGAAAAGAGAGAAAAAGAUGUGAAUAAUAUUUUUUCAAUGUUUUAUAAAUGAUUUUGAUUGCUCCGCUACUGGCAAACGUGUCGUGUUCAUCGAAACAUUUUCUCUCUCUCUCUCUCUCUCUCUUCUUUCUCUAUCUAUCUCAUUUCGCCAUAUGUCUGUCUCCGUUACAAAGCACGUCGCGUCACGAGCGAUAAGCGCACGCGAUCUCGAGUAGCGCUUCUGUCCUCUUCGUAGUUCCGUGUCGACGCGUUCGAUAACGAAUGUUGUUGGUUAUGUUGCACAAAGCGAAACUUAACUUACACAAACUCUUUCUUAUUGACCCGUUUCCUUUGUAAAAGUUUUUUCUUUACUCGUUAUAUCUAAACAAAAAAAGAGAAAAAAAAGACCCCUGUUCACCCUCUUCCUUCAUAAUUUUGCCAUCAUUCGAAUUAAUUUUUAUUUAAACAAAUUGGAUAUAUUUUUUGUUUAUAUAUAUAAAUUUAUUAAUUAAUAGAAACAAUAUUAUCAUGAAAAAUAUCACUUCAUUUGAUUAUUGCAGUAUUAUUCGAUUAUGCAUUUCGCGGGGAAAGCUUUUUGAUUGAUCGUGGUCAAUUGCAGCACUCUCUCUUUAUGUUUCUGCUUGAUACUUUUAUUUUCAAAACUGCAUAAUAAAUUAAAACAGAUAAUAACUAAUACUUCUAAUCAUAAAUCAUAAUUUCUUUCGCAUAAAUCGAAACAAAAUAUAUUCCUGCCUCGUGUCGAUCUUAUUAUUGAUCGAUACGAUACAAUCAAUAAGAUAUAUAACGUUCAUUCGCGAUGAAACGUACAUAAAAAUAUAUGCAUGCAUGCAUGCAUAUAUGUAUAUAUGUGUGUGUAUGUAUAUGUAUCGUAAAACGGGAUUAUUGACCACGAUAUAUAAUAAGGGCUCAUAAAAAAUCCUUAGCUCAUUAGCAAUAAUACGAGAUUGUGAUCUUUAGUCAGGAAAAAAAAAAAAAGAAAAAAAAAAGAAAAAGAAAAAAGAAAACAAAACAAAAAAUAGAAGAAAAAAAAAACCAGCGAAUGAUUUGCUCUCUGACGCAACUCGAGAGCAAGCUCGACAUUAAACUCGUUUCGUUCUUUGACUAUCAAUAAUAGUAUCUCGUGUUGUGUAAUAUUAGAAUGUAUUAUUACUUCAUAUGAUUAUUCGUAAUCAUCGAUGGUAUGUGUUUUUGUAAUCAUAACUUUGCAUUGCAAUUAAUUAAUCUGAACAUUUCUGAUUUUUCUUUAAUUAUUAAGUUUAAUAUAGGGCUAGGUAAAAAAAGAAGUUCCUAGGUAAUUUUCAAAAAUCAAUUAAAUGUUUUAGAACACUCUUCCCCCCUCCCCCCAUACCAUCCUAAUAUUCACCAUCCUUAUUUCUAUUAUUUCCAAAUUGUCGAUAAUUAUCUUUUCAAAAUCUAGAGCACAAGAUUCCGUACGAAAUUUAACAAUCGGUAGGGGCAAGCUAUAUAUAUAUAUAUAUAUAUAUAUAAAGAAGAAAGAAAAAAAUGAACAAGAGAGAAAAGGAACGAAGGAACAAAGAGAACAAUGAGAAUGUGCGCGCACGCGCGUGCAGAUUACAUUGGUAUGAGUACGUAGGUGUGUUAACUGCACGUGUCAGAAACAGAGAGAGAGAGAAAGAGAGACAGAGUAGGAGGGAGGAAAAGAGAGGAGGAACUAGAUGACGUAAGCUUCGAUUACACGCCGUUGCAUGGCGCGUACGGCGCACGACUGCAAAUCGCAUUCGCGUCAGCGCGUUCAUCGUACACACACGUAUCUGUUUUCAGUGCGUGUAAAUCUGUCGUUUAUCUUCUCUCUCUCUCUCUCUCUGUAUUUUUCUUUUUGUAAAACGUAUAUGUAUGCGUGCUUACACGUAUGAAGGACGAGGCCUUCAAGCAGGCACGUAACACUCGCGUAUCUCUCUUCGCUUCUUCGUGUAUCAACCAUAUAUGUAUAUAUAUAUAAUGCUGUUAGAUUGCCGUCAGCUGACAAGAUGAGAACAAGUCUAGAAACAGGAAAAGACCUUCUACUUCUUCUUUGAGAUAUUACUUUUAAGAGAAAUGAAAAGACAUGUCCUAAGGAAUUUUUCAUUCAACUCUUCAUGGAAAUUAGACGAGAAAGAGAGAGAGAGAGAGAGAGAGAGAGAGAGAGAGAGAGAGAGAGAGAGAGAGAGAGAGAGAGGUUUAACCUAACCAAACUUAAUACGUGUUUCAUAAUUUUACGAAAAUUGUGGAUAUAUGUACCUAACCUUACUUUCUAGUUUGAAAAGUAAAUGUUUUUAUGGUGAACUCGUAGAGACACCUAACCUCACUUUGUUAGUUCGAAAGUUAAACUACAGUCGUAAAACGCUGGAAGAAGAAGAUUUCUCUGGAACAAAUAAAAGUGACGCCCGCCCCUUCUUGAAUGUACGAAUCGUUUCUCCCUUUCCCCUCCCCAACCCUCUACGUCACUUUCUUCCACGAAGGAAAACAAUUACUAUUGGAGGAACGGACAACGAUGAGAACGACGAUGAAAACGACGAUGAGAACGACGACUACGAAGACGACAAUGAUGACGGUGGUAAAACAGCUGUCGCCUUGACCUUACUCAAUGCGCUUCUCGCCACGAUAUAUCGUGACUGCCAUUUCUUCACGUUCUCUUUCUCAGUCGAUGUAUAAAUCCGCUUUAAACGACUUUACUCUCUAUGAAACCUCGAUAUAUAACGUUGAAAAUAAAUUCCGCAGUUAAUCCUCGUAGUAAAGGGAUAAAUCACAAACGUGUCGAAUUUAAUUGAUUCCUAUAUAUGUAUGUAUGUAUGUAUGUAUGUAUGUAUGUAUGUAUGUAUAAUGUGUGUGUGUGUGUGUAUGUGUGUGUAUGUAUAUACAGCAACCACCAACCAACCUGUUGCACAUCAUACUCCCUCCUGUCCUAAUAAAUAAUAAAAGUAAAAACUCUUCAAUAUUUGUCAUGUACCAACCAAACGUCAUCGUGGAAUUUAAAAGGAAAAAGAAAAAAAAAAAAAAGAAAAAAGAGAAAGAAGACAGGAAAAAAGAUAAAUCUAAAAGAGGUAUAGUAUCAAGCGCACGCACAAUAUCAUGAUAAAUAAUAUCAAAUUAAAGCUUAAUAACUUUUAAACAUUAUUCAUAUUCCCAAUCAACUAACCAACCAACCUGAUCACGUUAUUCUCAAAAACAAGUAAUGAAGAAAGGGGGGAGGAAAAAAAAAUAAGACAGGAAAAUAAGUUAAAAUAAGACCGUUUGUGCAUCAUACCACAAAGAUGUCCUAAUAAAUAAUACAAAUCAAAAUUCUUAAACUUUUUUCCUCAACAUUGUUCAUAUCCUAACUAACAGGAUUAUCAAGGUAUUCUAAAAAACAAGACGCUGAAAAGAAAAAAGAAAGAGAGGAAGAUAGAAGAAAGAGAGAGAGAGAGAGAGA